ACGAACGCUGGCGGCGUGCUUCACACAUGCCAGUCGCACGCUGAAGCUCAGCUUUUGUUGGGUGGAUGAGUGGCGAACGGGUGAGUAACACGUGAGUAACCUGCCCCCUUCUUUGGGAUAACGCCCGGAAACGGGUGCUAAUACUGGAUAUUCACUGGUCUUCGCAUGGGGGUUGGUGGAAAGGGUUUUUCUGGUGGGGGAUGGGCUCGCGGCCUAUCAGCUUGUUGGUGGGGUGAUGGCCUACCAAGGCUUUGACGGGUAGCCGGCCUGAGAGGGUGACCGGUCACAUUGGGACUGAGAUACGGCCCAGACUCCUACGGGAGGCAGCAGUGGGGAAUAUUGCACAAUGGGCGCAAGCCUGAUGCAGCGACGCCGCGUGAGGGAUGGAGGCCUUCGGGUUGUGAACCUCUUUCGCUCAUGGUCAAGCCGCAACAAUGGUUGUGGUGAGGGUAGUGGGUAAAGAAGCGCCGGCUAACUACGUG
rnacentral:rRNA from 1 species